UUGUUUAGUUUUUAUUUCAUGAUCAUAAACUUAACUCUGCAAUGCAGCUAGACUUGGAAAUGGAUAAGGAAAAUAUGAAACCCAAAGAACUACAGUGGGAACACAAAGAUUAUAGGAUAUUUUGAGCAGAUGGGGGUAGAGAGGUGCUCUCCUGAGCUACAGAAGGAAUGGUCUGGUGGUUAAGAUAGGACAAGGAAAAAUCU